ACUUGGCUGACGAGUCCCAAAUAGGACGAAAUGCGAAUUCUGGCU
rnacentral:hammerhead_ribozyme from 1 species